UACGAAGGGGGCUAGCGUUGCUCGGAAUCACUGGGCGUAAAGGGUGCGUAGGCGGGUCUUUAAGUCAGGGGUGAAAUCCUGGAGUUCAACUCCAGAACUGCCUUUGAUACUGAAGAUCUUGAGUUCGGGAGAGGUGAGUGGAACUGCGAGUGUAGAGGUGAAAUUCGUAGAUAUUCGCAAGAACACCAGUGGCGAAGGCGGCUCACUGGCCCGAUACUGACGCUGAGGCACGAAAGCGUGGGGAGCAAACAGG
rnacentral:rRNA from 1 species